GACGAACGCUGGCGGCGCGCCUAACACAUGCAAGUCGAACGAGCGAGAGAGAGCUUGCUUUCUCGAGCGAGUGGCGAACGGGUGAGUAACGCGUGAGGAACCUGCCUCAAAGAGGGGGACAACAGUUGGAAACGACUGCUAAUACCGCAUAAGCCCACGACCCGGCAUCGGGUAGAGGGAAAAGGAGCAAUCCGCUUUGAGAUGGCCUCGCGUCCGAUUAGCUAGUUGGUGAGGUAACGGCCCACCAAGGCGACGAUCGGUAGCCGGACUGAGAGGUUGAACGGCCACAUUGGGACUGAGACACGGCCCAGACUCCUACGGGAGGGAGCAGUGGGGAAUAUUGCACAAUGGGGGAAACCCUGAUGCAGCGACGCCGCGUGGAGGAAGAAGGUCUUCGGAUUGUAAACUCCUGUUGUUGAGGAAGAUAAUGACGGUACUCAACAAGGAAGUGACGGCUAACUACGUG
rnacentral:rRNA from 1 species